AUUGAACGCUGGCGGCAGGCUUAACACAUGCAAGUCGAGCGGGGGAAGGUAGCUUGCUACCGGACCUAGCGGCGGACGGGUGAGUAAUGCUUAGGAAUCUGCCUAUUAGUGGGGGACAACAUCUCGAAAGGGAUGCUAAUGCCGCAUACGUCCUACGGGAGAAAGCAGGGGAUCUUCGGACCUUGCGCUAAUAGAUGAGCCUAAGUCGGAUUAGCUGGUUGGUGGGGUAAAGGCCUACCAAGGCGACGAUCUGUUGAGGGUCUGCGAGGAUGAUCCGCCACACUGGGACUGAGACACGGCCCAGACUCCUACGGGAGGCAGCAGUGGGGAAUAUUGGACAAUGGGGGGAACCCUGAUCCAGCCAUGCCGCGUGUGUGAAGAAGGCCUUAUGGUUGUAAAGCACUUUAAGCGAGGAGGAGGCUACUCUAGUUAAUACCUAGGGAUAGUGGACGUUACUCGCAGAAUAAGCACCGGCUAACUCUGUGCCAGCCGCCGCCGUAA
rnacentral:rRNA from 1 species